AUCCAUAUAUCUAAUGUUUAAGGGCUGGGUUCUUACCCCAGUAAUGUGGUUGUCACUGUGGGUU
rnacentral:tRNA from 1 species